GGUGAGGAUUACUAACCAGAACAUAUUUUUAUUCCUAAGAUAGUAUGAGAAAGUUCUGAUCUUGACAGUUCACGUAACAUUCAAUCAAUUAUACCAUUGCUCUAUCUCUAAAGUUUUCUUUUUCUCCUUUUCUCAGUGUCUUACCAAGAAUGAAAGGCAACCUAUGUAAAAACUAUGGGCUUUCUAGUAUAAAUAAAAACUACUCAUCUCCAGAAAAUAAACAAUGACUGCUAAGAUGAUUGAAAAAAGAAAGGAGAAGAAAGUAGCUUGUAAAAGCGUGUGAAAUGCAUUCACGUUGGAAUCUCCUACAGGCACUUCAGGUCUUCAGACUGUAAACAUUUUAAGUGUGAUUGCUGUGAAUGAAGGAAACCCAGAGCCAUCAUGACAAGCCUAAACUCAAAGGGGACUGAUUUCUUCUACACUGAAUGUUUCAUUAGUGACAGGGCCCAGAUAAUAAAGAAUUGUGCUCACUUCCUGUGAGUGAUGGCUUUCCCUCAAUUGUAUGCUGAGUAACAUUUACAGUAUUCAUUUUUAAGCACCCAUCUUCCUGGGAGCCCUAUUUCCCCUAAGCUUUCAAUUGAUCCUCCUAAGAGCAGAGAUCACUUAGGCACUGAGCUAUGCAGCUGCUGCCUGAGUCUCCUGGACGCCUGCCCUCACCUCCAGCCACAUGAAAAACAUUCAAGCUUUAACUUCAGAAAUGUUCUCUAACCCACUCCCAGACACCCAACUGAUUAAAUCAUAGAUUAGAGGAAAAAAUUCUUGCCUGAAAUUGUCAUCUUGCACGUAUGCUGAUGUCCAGAAGGACACAUCCUGGUGGGAAGUGACUGCAUGUUUUGUUCAUAUUACAAGUCCUGUUGACAAAAGAGAAUAAUACAGGUGUCCUCCUGAAACUGUCACCACAGUGACCUUCCUCAGUCAAAAAGAAAUAUAAAUAUUAUUGUGUUUCUCGUGUCUGAGGCACCUCUGAAAGCAUUUAUCUUUUCAGAGAGUUCAGCACUUCAUCUCACGGGUUAAUUAAACCAACCUGUAGUGGCAAAGUUUAGUGGUAGUGAAAAUAAACAUAAUCCUCUUUCUGUUGCCCAACCUUUCAGUUUCAUUUUGUAAUUUUUCAAUACAGGGGCACAAUAAGUGAUAAUCCUGGAUUCCAAAUGAUUUCCACUUCUUUCUCUGCCACCUUCCCUGCCCCAACACCUGCCAUCCCUCAUUUACACAAUUCAAGUAAUCAAGGGGCAGUUUGGCUCCCUUUUUCUGGAGGCAAACUUUUGCAGAGUUUUAACUUACUCAGUGGGAAGAAAAGCCCCCAAAACACUGAAGCAUACCAAGCAAAUAAAUAAAUAAAUGCACAAAGGCUCCCUGCGGUUGUCUGACGAGGAUACUGGAGCAAGCAGCCUGAAGAACAAACGUCUGACUGUUGAAACAGCGAGACAGGAAUAAACCCAUGGGGCCACAUCUGGGAGUGUGAGUGUGUGAAUGGAACUAAGCUGGUCUCCCACACAACAGGAAUUCCACCAAAAGUAUGCGCUCUGUAUGGGAGGACAGAAAAAAAAUGUGUUUAAAAUAUCACUAAGGAAACCCAGAUACAUUAUCUCUGCCAGACUACAGAAGACAGUACAGUUAGUGCUUGUCUCAAAAUGACAGAAACAGAGAACAUGCUUUGAUGAUGUCGAAGAUGCAGGAAAAUAGAAAAAUAAAAACGGUGGAAAGAUUUUUUUUUAAUGCCCUAAAAUGAGCAAGACGCCUCCCUUUUCAUAGCACCAGGAGACAUUUCCAUUGCUUUUUUUUCAUGCUUGUGGCUUUUUGAGGGCAAAGAGUAAGUGAAAUCCAAUAAUUUGGUCUUUCUGCUCCAAAGUUUUGGCUGCCAUAAACUUAUUGUUCGAAUAUCAGAAUGGUUGUUCCUGCUUUGACGCCUGUGAAACAAUUUGUUUCAAUAUCAUAGCACAGUUUUAAAAGUAUGUUUUGACUCCAGAAAUAUGUUUGACCUCAGAAUUUUGAAAGCGUGUUUUGACCUUUAAACUCUUACUUCAAGAAGACAUAUGUGUGCAUGUGUGUGUUUGUAGGGUGUGUGUGUGUGUCUUGUAGAAUCUCACAUUUUAUUCAGUAGCUUAGCUCCAUUUCAAUGCCAGUUAAAUUUUAGCAUUAUAAUAAUACAAUGAAUUACUCUCUAAAAAUAGGUUGAAAUGUAUUUCUAUUUGUGAAGUUUAGGCAAAUGACACCAUCUGCAAUAUCCUUUAACAGAUUAGCUAUUGUAAAGGCAUCAUCUUUAGGAAUAAUACUUUUCUGCAUCAUAAUAAUUUCCUGUUAUUCCUAAGGCAAGUGCUGGAUGAUUGUUGUUUCAGUGUGGAUCAGCCUGACUUCAAUCCAUCUGUGCUUCCCAGGGCCGACUCCUGAAUUCCUCCUCCAUGCCAUCAUACCUUAUUGGCUCUCCUGCUGUUACGUUCAGUCAUAAUGUUAAAAACUCAGACUAUUAAAAUGUAAAGAUAUGAAUUCUUUUUGAAAUUGUCAACAUGGAAGAGUCUAUCUACAGUCUGCUUUUAAUUUAGCCGCAAAAUGACUUAGCUGAUGCAACAAUUUCACAUGCUGAGGAAGAGUUUUCGAUUGCCGAAUUAGUGUGAUAAAGUGAUGGUGAGGUUUUCUGUUGACUCUGGAAGCAACAACAAAAAUGGUGGUGCUCUUCUCCAUACCCAUGUUCAUAGAUAUAUCGUUACAGAUGACACUCAAACUUUGAUUUUUUUUCUUUUUUGGCUGACUGCUUGAAACACAUGUAGCCCCAGGAAACAAGUAGAGCCACCCCAGGGAACUAAAAAACAAGUUAUGAGGAAACCAGCUCCAUUGAACAGUAAACAGUUUUAGUAAACCUGAGCUUAUCAACAGAAACUUCAGCAACUCAUCUGAGAAUAAGACGAAGUGCUCCUGAUGGCUGCUUUCAAUCACUGGAAGAACCAUGAAAGUGCGAGAGAUUCCUCCCGGUGAAUGAAGCCAGCUCACCACCGUCAAGGGCAAGGGAUCAGCGUGUGUUCACAUGGAGGCCUCUCACCGAGGGAACCCAAGGGGGACAGCACAGGAAUUGCAGAGCCAGCACCCAUGGAAUGGGCAGGGAUUUGGGUUUCAUCCAACCAGCCAGUUGAUCAAUAAUCACUGAAUGUCUGUCACCCAUUGCAUCCUCUCCUGAGUAGUGAGGCUAGGCCA
rnacentral:lncRNA from 1 species